AGCUCCAAUAGCGUAUAUUAAAGUUGUUGCAGUUAAAAAGCUCGUAGUUGGACUUCUGAUUCGAAAGAUCGGUCCGCCGCAAGGCGAGCACUGAUUCUUCGAGUCUUCCUCUCGUAGUUGUUUGGCGCACUUGAUUGGGUGCCAGAUGAAUAUGGGACCUUUACUUUGAAAAAAUUAGAGUGUUCAAAGCAGGCAAUCGCUUGAAUACAUUAGCAUGGAAUAAUAGAAUAGGACUUUGGUUCUAUUUUGUUGGUUUCUAGGACCGAGGUAAUGAUUAAUAGGGACAGUUGGGGGCAUUAGUAUUUAAUUGUCAGAGGUGAAAUUCUUGGAUUUAUGAAAGACUAACUACUGCGAAAGCAUUUGCCAAGGAUGUUUUCAUUA
rnacentral:rRNA from 1 species